GCCGAAGUGGCGAAAUGGCAGACGCAGUUGACUCAAAAUCAUCCGCCUUCACGGGCGUGUCGGUUCGACUCCGACCUUCGGCACCA
rnacentral:tRNA from 2 species